GGGAGCUUGGCUCAGUUGGAAGAGCGCAGGUCUCAUAUUGUCUAAAAUAUGAUCCAAUUUGACAUUGGAAGUUAUCCUGAGGUCGUGAGUUCGAGCCUCACAGUUCCCA